GGUGCAGCUCAGUGGCAGAGCACUUGCCUAGCAUGCAUGAAGUCCUGCGUUCAAUCCCCAGCACCA
rnacentral:tRNA from 1 species